GAUGAAGAACGUAGCGAAAUGCGAUAAGUAAUGUGAAUUGCAGAAUUCAGUGAAUCAUCGAAUCUUUGAACGCACAUUGCGCCCCUUGGUAUUCCGAGGGGCAUGCCUGUUCGAGCGUCAUUAUAACCCCUCAAGCUUAGCUUGGUGUUGGGGCCUGCUGUAAUAGAGCAGCCCUUAAAAUCAGUGGCGGUGCCAUUAGGCUCUAAGCGUAGUAAUUCUUCUCGCUAUAGGGUUCUGGUGGAUGCUUGCCAUUAACCUCUAAUUCUCUAUGGUUGACCUCGGAUCAGGUAGGGAUACCCGCUGAACUUAAGCAUAUCAAUAAGCGGAGGA
rnacentral:misc_RNA from 1 species